CCAGGGUGGGUACAACAUCAAGAAAUGGGAAGCCAUAUAAGAAUAGAGCUUCCUAUGAAUUGGUAUGAAGAUGACCACUUCCUUGGAUUUGGAUUUUUCUGUCUUCAUCAUCAAUCAAAAAUACUUUCCUUAUCUUUGAAAUUUGAUGAAGAAGAAUAUGCUAUAGUUAUAGUAGAACUUUUCUGUAGAGAUCGACCAUCGCCACGAGAUUAAUGAUAGUGAAUCAGAUCAAGUGUUGCUAGUGUACUAUCCUAAGAUUUCUUUUAGGGACGAGUUCCACUCCAAUCAUUAUAUGCACCUUCAGGCUUCAUUUGAUGAUUAUUGGGGCGAAAUCAAAAGUUGUGGGGUUCAUCUUAUAUACUCUCAAGACGAUCAACAAAACCAUAUCUUGUCGGUAGAUUUUCUUGGCACCCAAGAUGAUGAAGACAACCAUAAGCCUAUGUUGUUGAAUAUUGAGAAUUUUGGUGACAACAGAUCAACAACAAAAUCUAUCAAGAGAAGUCCUGAUGGCGCAGAACAUAACCAAGCAGAGGAACCACACCAUAAAAGAUUGAGAGAACAUAACCAAAAUUCAUCUCAAGCUUUAAACUCAAACACCAACUAGCAGGACUCGAAUUCUGUCAUUAGAACUUUCCUUCAAUUCCUGGAUUUGAAGAAGAAUAAUCAAGAAUUUGAGCCACAUUUGCCAUGGAAGAAAAGUGGUUGCUACCGCGGGACAUAGGUAGCUGCUGCCAUAUAUGCACCAGUGGCGGGCCUUCACCGCUACAAUAACAUCACUAUAUAUAGACCAGUGCCUCCCGCUCACCCCCACUGCAAAACCCAUUCACGGUGUUGAUGCCAUUCCCAUUCCCAUUCCCUUCCUCUAACAAUGAGCAGUAUUCAGACGAAAAGAAAUUUUGCAGCUUGAGAUCCCUUCAGGACAUAUACACAGAAGAUCUUUCACCUGAACAUAUACACAAAGGACUCCUAGUUUCUGUUAGUCCGAAGUCAUAGAUUGAUCUUGACUACAGUUGAUUCUGGUAGCAGGCCC